rnacentral:rRNA from 1 species
ACGAACGCUGGCGGCGCGCCUAACCCAUGCAAGUCGAACGAGCGAGAGAGAGCUUGCUUUCUCGAGCGAGUGGCGAACGGGUGAGUAACGCGUGAGGAACCUGCCUCAAAGAGGGGGACAACAGUUGGAAACGACUGCUAAUACCGCAUAAGCCCACGACCCGGCAUCGGGUAGAGGGAAAAGGAGCAAUCCGCUUUGAGAUGGCCUCGCGUCCGAUUAGCUAGUUGGUGAGGUAACGGCCCACCAAGGCGACGAUCGGUAGCCGGACUGAGAGGUUGAACGGCCACAUUGGGACUGAGACACGGCCCAGACUCCUACGGGAGGCAGCAGUGGGGAAUAUUGCACAAUGGGGGAAACCCUGAUGCAGCGACGCCGCGUGGAGGAAGAAGGUCUUCGGAUUGUAAACUCCUGUUGUUGAGGAAGAUAAUGACGGUACUCAACAAGGAAGUGACGGCUAACUACGUG